AUCAACAGUGGCAAUACCAUUUAUCUAAUUGCCAUGAGAGUAGUUAGGAUAUAACCUUAUCAAUGACUUAAAAAUUCCUCUGCAAAAUAAAUAUGAAAAGAUUAGAAUAAACAAAUAAUAAAUGGAUAAUAUGUAUCUUAUUAACAAAUUGUUAUACUAACAUAAACAAUUUCUUAAAAUCAUAUUCAAUAUGCUUCCACCAUUCAUCAUUUGAUUCUCUUUUAAAAUUACGGUACAUGCAAGAGUACUAACUUUUGAAGUCUGAUUUUAUCUCCUCUAAAGCCACCAAUCAUCUAUCAACAAAUUUUAUUCUGACUGCAUGCUCAUCCAAAAUUUUUGAUAUUAAAUUGUUGAUAUUGUAUAGUAGUAACAUUGGGUGACCGUAACACACUACAAACAUGCAUUUUAUUUACGAAUUGAUCAUUUUCAAUGACUAUUUUUGAUAAAUGAGUUUUAAAAACUGCUCAAGUUUCAUUUCCUCUAUAAAUCCAACAAUUAAUUUGACAUUUUUUCCUAAAAAAAAAUGUUUGAAAAAAUAGAUAUAAGAAUAUUAAAAAGAAAGGUGUUAAAAAUAGAAAUGAUUAUAAAAAAAAAAUAAAUGUAUUAAAAAAUAUAAUAUAUCAUGCAUUAACAUUUAAGACUGAUUUACCAAAAAACUUAUAAACAUUAACAUUGAAAAUAAACUAAAUUAGAAGUUCUCUCCGACACAAUAACUUUUGUAUGCAAAAUCCAUUAUUGAAGGCAUCACUUCAAUGGCAUCCGUCAACAGUGAAACCAUAUAGAAAAUUGUAAACCAUGAUUUUUGGCUAAGAGGAGAAAAUAAUGGUAAAGAAGAAUUGUUAGGUUAUAUAAAAGGUGAUAAAAGCUGAGUCAAUAAGGUGGAAGGGCAAUGAGAAAAAGAAAAGGGUCAUUGCAUUGAAAAAUGAUUAGUAUAAAUCUCGAAAGUAGCAAGGAUAAAUGUCAAUAAAGGCAACUCUUCGUUAGUUAUUUAAAAGUUAGGUAGUUAUAAAAAAAUUAUCAUAGAUUAACAUCUUCUUAAACGAUUUCGUUAAAAGCUACUUAACAAAUUGAAGUUAGCAAUUAUACAAAAAGAGAAUUUCAAAUAAUAUGUUGUAAUCUCAUUAAAAAAAAAAAAGAGAGAGGGAAUGUGUAUAAUUGUCUAACGAAUAAUAUUAGUUUUGUUCUCUUUCUAUUCUCUCUCAUUUUCUGAGAUAUACAAUCACUUUUUUUAUUAGACCAUUAAUACCCAAUAUUAUUGAAUCGUUGAGUAGCUUGUGCCCAAGUAAUUCAAUUUCAAAAAUUAACCUACGUGUCUUGUGUCAAUUGAGCAAAACACUAGAAAACAUGAAUUCAAUCUUACAUACAAAGCUAGAAAAAUUAAUAUAACCAACUAGGAAGACUACUUGAAUACCAUGAAAUAUAGCUUUCAGAAUUUCAUUAUUUAUGACCACGUGGCAGAGAAAAAGAAAAAAUUGGAUAUUUAAAAUGUCUACAUGAAUACUAUGUAAAUUAAUUUCUUAAGUGGCCUCAGAUGUGAAAUUCAUAUCACCAUGUGAAUGUUUAGACUUCAAAUCUAAUUCCUUUCAAUAAGCCUACAAUUUUGCACAUAUGCAGCAACAAGAAACAAACUUAUUUUUACCUCAAAAUCAUCUUCAGAAAUUUUCGCCACAUCUUGAACUUCAACAAAGUCCCUAGUUGUAUACUCCACAAGUUCAUUUUCAGCCGACUUCCUCCCAAUCUCAAAAUCCUCUUCGCAUUCUUAUGUAACACAACAUUAUAGCAACAAUCAUUAAGAUAUAUCAUUGCAUGAAGAACUCAUUUAAAUAAAUUUCCAAUAAAAGAGACACAAACCUAUUACAGUUGAAUAUGACACAUCAAUAGGCUUACUAUCACUCUUUUCAUCAACAUUCUUUGAAU
rnacentral:misc_RNA from 1 species